GUUAAGAAUUAUGGAUAUAAAAUAUAGCAUACUAUAUAUAGUGUACUUAAAUAUAUUCAUUCAUAUAUAGGUGUGAUUUAUUUAAAGGACCAGUAAUGAUAUGAAUUGUGGUUUAAAUGUCAGAUCAUUAUUUUAUAAAAUGUGGCUUUUGAUUAUAGCAAAGCAUUUUAGGUAUGGUUGAUCCAUACUUAAUGGUAGAUGAUGUUUAAAAAGCUAUGUGCACUUUAAAUUUUAGGUGUGUGAAAACUGUUUGCAUGUAAAAUGAGCUUGAUUAAGUUGAAUCUAUUAACUGAGCACAUUCAGUAACAGUUGGUCAGUACCAUCUAUAUCUGCUGGACUUAUAGGUCAGCAGAAUCUGAGACAUUGUCAAUAGAUAUUUUGCCAAAGUUCAUACUGUGUUCAAAUACCACAGAUUUUUAGCUAUUUAUAAUAGGGCUUGGUAUAGAAACCCAUGACUUGGGAUCACAGUAGAUCCUGUUCAUACCCAUGGGAUUGUAUAUAUUACAUGGCGCAAGAAGGGAUUGGCCUCAAGCAAAAAGAUACAGAGUUAUCCCCAAAGUGAAAAGAGAUUUAAAACAUGGUAGAAAGCAAGUGGUGGAAAUAAACACUAACAGCCCAGAGAUUACUGUGUUUCUCCAAAGGUUCCGUAAUUAGUUAUCAAGCUUGUGGCUUCUGGAUCGUAACCGUCAAGAUUCCAAGUAUAAACAUUAUAGAACACAGUACAGUUCAAAUAGGGAAAGAUUGUAAUGAAAAUGUGCAUGAACUCUCUUACAUUCUAAUGUUAGGAGUCCUAAAUUAUAUAUAAUGUAUAAUAUAUAAGCUUUUCUUUGGUAAGAAUUUAUACUUCCAAGUUAAUUUCAUGCAUUUUGCACUUGCUGCUUCAUUAAAAAACUCACCAGAUAUCUAGGAUUACAAAUUAAUUGGAUACCCCGCUUGUCCCCAUUAAAAAAAAAAUCACAGAUUUCAAGAGAGAUUGGCACUUUUAAGUUGAUUAGGGAAAAUUUAGAAUCAGCUUUCUGGCAGUCGAGUUGACAACCAGGAGGGCUCCUGGUCUACAUUGCUUGAAAGAACGUUUAAAGGAGCACUAUAGGGUCAGGAACACAAACCUUUAUUCCUGACCCUCUUGGGUUAAAACCACCAUCUAGCCCCCCUGGGCACCUCAUGCCUCUAAAAAUAUUGUAAAAUCUUACUUGAAUUCAAGCCUGCAGCUGCAUAGUUUGUCCCUGUUUCCUUUAGACCUGCCUGCUGACAUCAGCAGAAGUGGUAGCCUGCUCCAAUCACAGUGCUUCCCCAUUGGAUUGGAUGAGACUGACAAACAGGCAGAUAUGGGGCAGAGCCAGCACAAUUCAAACACAGUCCUGGCCAAUCAGCAUCUCCUCCUAGAGAUACAUUGAAUCAAUGAAUAUCUAUGAGGAAAGUUCAGUGUCUGCAUGCAGAGGGAGGAUAUUCUGAAUGUUUGGAUGCAUUUUAGGCAGCCAUGACCCAGGAAGGAUCUCUAUCAGCUAUCUAAGGAGUGGCCAGUGAAGUUAUCACUAGGCUGUAGUAUAAACACUGCAUUUUCUCUGAAAAGACAGUAUUUACAGCAAAAAGCCUGAACGUUAUGAUUCUACUCACCAGAACAAAUUCAAUAAGCUGUAGUUGUUCUGGUGACUAUAGUGUCCCUUAACUUACUUUUUUUUGUUAUGCCGAAAAGAUUAUAUGGAUGACUUACAAAAUGUCUCCCAAGCUAAUGUCAGUCAAGUUCAAUAUUCUAUCUUCAGUCAGCAAAAGUUACUAAGAGAAGUUCAUAAUGUUUUAAUUAGAUAAUCCAUUUCAUUGCUGUCUGCUGAUUGUCCUUUUGCAUAGUUAUUGGGUCAUUUGUUAUAUCAUAACUAAAUACAGGCAAAAUUAGUUUUAUCUCACUCAAUUGAUUAUAUUGCUUGGAGUCCUCUGGCACUGUCCCUCCAUUCAGUGUUCUCCCAUUUUCAAGCAGUCUAAAACUAAAAGCCUGAAGGUAAUGAUUCUACUCAUCAGAACAAAUUCAAUAAGCUGUAGUUGUUCUGGUGAAUAUAGUGUCCCUUUAAGCGGAAGGGAAGAGUUUCUGUAGGGAAGCAUAACUAAAUUCUUCCCUAGAAGAAGCAUUCUGUUGGACAAUCGCCUCAUUUGAUUGACAUAUUCACAGCAAUCGUCACACAGGCACUGAUUUUCUUUCCACAGGAAGGGGAGACUAUCCUCACUAAUAGUCUAACUGGGUUUGGAGCGAGCAACAGCGAGUAGUAACUCACCACUGAAUAAAAUUAUGAAUAAACAAUAUUUUUCCUUUGGGGAGGGGGCGGGGUGUAGACAUCUGGCACUGUUAGGAAUAAAGGAACAUUCCGAUCUUUAAAACCUAAUAUUGUUUUUUUUUUUAAAUUUAAAUGUUCGCAAUCGGAAUUUACGAACUCAAAUAAGUGGCAGUUUACCGUCAUAAGUAUGGAAGAGAUAUAAUCUUUACCUAGAAUUAUGGUUUUCGUCAGACCCUUAAGAUAUUUGCAUAUAUGUAUGUAUAUAGAGACUGUGAGUGAGGGUGAAUGAACUGAAAACCCUGCAUUUGUAUGGAUAUUUAUAAAAUUUAUAAUGGGGGGUUUCAUAAGGACAAUCAAAUUGAUUUUCCUUGGGAAAUUUUUAGAACUUCUCCCCAGAAUGCGCUAACUCCCAAUCUGCAUAUUAUAUAUAUAUAUAUAUAUAUAUAUAUAUAUAUAUUGUCAUCAAUAAAAUCAAUUUAUUUUUCUUUUCUGAAACCUCUCGUUUGUGCCUUUAGAAUUAAUACUUGAACACGUUCCUCCUAUGUAUCACCUAAGUUUGAUAAAGUUUCUUAUCCAGAUACUACCAAUAAAACAUUCCAAAAUAGCAUAAAACAAUGCAAAUAAAAAUAUAUUAUGCCAAAGUUGUUUCAUCUUGGAGAACCACAAUAAUUCUGGCGUUUGAAUGCAUCUGAAACAAUAUUGCAUAUAUUCAGUCACUUUGUCCUUGUAAAAAGCAUUUGUUGAAAUGUGUACAGUAUGUGCGUAAUAAAGUCUUAUUUAUUGUCCA